CAAGUUAUCUUAAUGGGUGCUGUUGAGGGUUACCGUAUUGCUGGUGGACCUCUCGGUGAGGUGGUUGACCCACUCUACCCAGGUGGCAGCUUUGACCCCUUGGGCCUUGCCGAAGAUCCCGAGGCUUUUGCAGAGUUGAAGGUGAAAGAACUAAAAAAUGGUAGGUUAGCUAUGUUCUCUAUGUUUGGAUUUUUCGUUCAAGCCAUUGUGACUGGAAAGGGACCUAUCGAGAACCUCGCCGACCACCUUGCUGACCCGGUUAACAACAAUGCUUGGGCCUACGCCACAAACUUUGCCCCCGGAAAAUAAGCAAUAACUACACCAAAUGAGAAGUGAAUGACUUGAAUAUCGAAGUUUGAAUUUGUUAGUGUGUUAUAUUUUGUAAAACGCAUGGCAUGUUACAUCUUUUUUUCCCCUAAGUUUGUACAUAUUAAGUGAAUGAAAUGAAUGGUUUUACCGAAACAAGGGAGAGUGAAAUGACUGUGAAUGGUAUCAAGCAAUCUAUUACCAGAACAUCAAGUGUAACGAUGUCCUUUCAAAAAAAAAUAAAAAAAAAUCAAGUGUAACGAUGUUUUAAACCAGUGAAGUUUUUAUCAUAUUAACUUUUCAUAUUUUAUAAUUAUAUUUUAUUUUAAAGAGGAGCCUACACAACGGUAAAAGUUGAUUAAAAAUGUCACGAGUUCAAGUUCUGAAAAUAGUCUCUUGUGUAAAAAUAGAAUAAGACUGUGUGCAAUACACCAGAUGGUGAGACCCUUUCUCGGACUCUACGUAUGUGGUUGCCUUGUGCACCAGACUGUUUCUUUGUUUGCUACAAUUAUAUUUUAUUUUGUUAACCUUUUACAUGCCAUAUAUCUUUAGCUCAAUAUGAGAUCUUGUAAUGCCGUUUGAGCUGAAUUAUGGUUUCCCCGUAUGGAAAUCACCCAAGAUCUAAAUCAUAGCAAGUAGGAAUUUGAGAUGGACUCCAAAGUUGAUAUUGAUAUGGUUAAUUUAAAUCCUACCGAAUUGCUUUUAUUCAACAUUUCCUACAUGAGAUCGUUGCUAUUCUGAACCUCCCUUCAAGGAGAAGUUUCAUCUGUUAUAUUUAUAAAGAAACAAAUAAAUAUGUAGAUCUCCUAUGCUAAUAAGAGGCACACUACAAGAGUUGGUGUACAUUAUGUUUUUCUCAUGCUCAGAUUUUGAUGUAGACAAGUUGGCAGCGCGAAUCGAAGACGAAGUGGCGCGUAAGAAAGGUUUAGUCGGAUUGGUGCUGAUUUAGCAUCCGACGUCGGAAUAACAUGAAUUAAACCUUUUUGAAAAGCCCCGGACCUCACGAGCAAUACUCAUCGCUUUGUCAUGAUGUAGGAGUUAAUUUAAUCAUUCGAGGUCGUCUGAAGGCCCGAAAACCGCGUUUUAAUACUUCAGCAUAUUCUAGAACUUUAUAUUUUAUUUCGUUUUGUUAUUUUUCAGCAUAUACGGGUUUGUUAUUUCAUUUAGUAUUUAAACAGAACUUAUGUAGCCAAAGAGGCACUUUUCAUUCAAUAAAAAUAUUCGAGACUUUUCUCUCAAUUCUGGUGGAUUUUGGAAACUCUUAUUUGAUAGGUUUAUCGCUUACAACCUGUUGUUAUCUUUUAAGUUUAGCGUUUGCUAACCCUUGCUUCCAUUUUGCGUCAGAUUUUUGUUACUAUAUGAUGCCAAAGGUGGCUGUAUCUCUAAUAAGCUUUCGUAGUUUAAUUUCCUUUCCUAUCAAAUAAUAAAAAAUGUAACGAUCACCAAUAAACCAUGAAUGAAUAGAGCAAUUCUUGCUUGGGCACAACCACAAAUAUAAAUAAUUUAGACACACACAUAAAAAAAAACAGACACCCACACACACGCGCAUAUAUAUAUAUCAUUGAUUAUUUUCAAAAAUAUAUUAUUUUAUUGAUUUUUCUUUUAUAUGUUUUCACUUAUGUGUGUCCAAAUCAAAAUGAUAUGGGGUUAUGAUGGGUAUUUGUAUUGGCUGCAUUAUUGCUAAUACAAAUAUCCAUGUUUGUGAUGUUCGAUACUAUGUUCCAAUAUGUAUAUUAAUAAUUCUAAUAAUAUGCAAUAAAAGUAAUGUAUAUUAAAAAAUUACAUUGUACUAAUAUGUAUAUUCUAUGAUUGUUUCAUCUCCUAUUUGAUUACACAACCCAAUUAUCACAAUCUUCAUAGCAGAAAAGACAGUUUAAGUGAAUUGAGUACCAGAAGCUCGUCAUGAUCAAGAGAGCGUUGAGUGUACAUGCAAAUUAUCCACCGACAAGGUUCUUACAUUGGCAACAUAAGUUAAACUUAGGUUCUUAUGGUUUGUGAAUCAACUCCUAGACCAAUCGACAUCGACAAUUUUUUUAGUCGUUUAGAAUCAUAUAAAUUUUCAAUUUAAUUUGAUUAGUAAAAAAUAAAUAAUUGUAUGUAUAAGCAAUGACAUAUUAUUAUUUAAAUUUUAAAGCAUGCUUACCAAAUAAAUAUAAAAAAGAUCAUGCAUAUUUGUAACAACUUUCCAAAGAUACAAUCAAAUGAUGUGUUAGUCUACUGGAUAUAUUACUUUUAAGGGUUAAAUAUGUUUUUAGUCUCUAUAAAUAUACCAACUUUUCCUUUUAGUCAUUCUAAAAUUUUCGUUCAACUUUUAGUCCCUAUAAAAUUUUCAAUCACUACUUAUAGUCCCUAUUUUUAAAUUAAUUUUAGUAUUUUUUAAUGAAAUUGUGCAGAAAUGUGUAGAAUAUUGUAAAAAUAUUUCCCAAAAAAAUUAGAAUUUUUUAACGAAACAUAAAUUUAAUAUGAAUUUUUAACCAUCAAAAAUAUAAAAAUUCAUAAUAAAUUCAUGUUUUGUUGAAAAAUUCUAAAUUUUUUUAGGAGAGAUACUUAAAAUAUUAUGAAUUUUUCUGCAAACUUUUAUUCAAAAAUGUGAAUUCUACAUAUGAAUUUACUUUAAAAGAGGGACCACAAGUGAAGAUGGAAAAUUUUUGGAGGACUAAAAGUUGAAGGAAAAUUUUAGAGGGACUAAAACGAAAAGUUGGUAUAUUUAUAGGGACCAAAAACAUAUUUAACCUUACUUUUAAUAAUGACAUGGGGGAUCCCUUUCAUUUUUGUUCUAAUAAUAGUAACAAUAAUAUGUUAUAAUAGCAGAAAAAACAAAAACAAAGUAACAUUGCACCACGUUUUGACGGUAGAUUGAAAAUGCAGGUUCAAAGAGAAAUAUUGAGAAAUCACUUGAACCCCCUCACACAAGAGUGGCUUCGCCACUGAUCACAGUGGCUGUGAUUGGUUGUAGGAUAGUGAGAUGAGAUCUUAGAUCUAGAAGUUCUUAGGUUGAAAUCAAUACGGGUAGGUCCUAGGUCUUAAGUGUAAACGAGGAUUUUGCUGAGAGCUUUAGAAUAAGAACUACACUAGUGGAUUACUUUCCUAACUUGGUAGCCCCAGAUGUAGGUGAGUUGUGCCGAACUGAGUUAACAAACUCUUCUUUACUUUCUUGUCUUUUAUUUUGCUGUUUUGUUUAUGUUUACUUCUAGCACGAUGUUGGAACAUUAAACGGAACAUGUGCUUUCUGUGCAUCUCGAGUUGAAACUUCACAUAGAACAACUUCUAACUGACACGCUAAAUAUUCAGCAUCCGUUAUAUUUGCCGGGAAUUUCAAGUUAUGACCAAACAAGUCUUACUCGAAUGAAUAAGGAUCACACCAAUCAGAAAAAUAAUAUAAUAAAGACAAACAACAAUUAAGACAAAAAAAAGACAAACAACAAUAUCUUAAUAAAAUUAGAUGUUGAUAUUAUGCUAUUUGAAGGACGAGUUUGAACUUUAUUUUAGAAAAUGUGGAAGGUCCAGUAAAUAAAUAUAUCAUGAAAGGUGGAUAUAAAAUAUCUCUGUGAGCUUGAUUCUCUUGGUAGUGAUAUUAUAUAUUAUAUGCAGAGUCAUCGAACCUCGGACACCCUGGUCACUUCUCCACAUUUAAAAUGUAUGAGCUCCGGUCACUAUACUAUUUGACAAAAAAAAAUAAUGCUUGAAAAAUUUAUUAGAAUGUUUACCACUUCAGCCCACAUUAAGUUCAAUCUAGUUAACCAAAAAAAUAUAAAUAUUCUUGAAGCAUGUUAAAAUCAUGUGAUACAAAUCAAUUUGAUUAUAUCAAGAUGAUGUUGAGAUAAUUUAUAUUAACACGACUCGCCUAUUAGCAAAAAUAUUUUGGUUUCGAUUUAUACAAUCGUCCAUUUGAGAGAUGGUUCGACUCUCAAGACAAAAAGUAAGAUAGCUUGCAACGAACUUGGUAAGUAGUCAUGUAGCGCUUUCAAAUGCGGGUGGUAUCCAUUGGAGAGCCAAAUACUUUUGUUAUAGUAACAUCACUGCGGAUUUUAUUAGUCAUAUACAUGGAUUUAAUUAUUUAUCUUGUUAUUUUUAAACAUAUAAUAAGAUCAGUUUAUUUAAAUUUAUUUCUUUAUCUCAUUAUUUUCAUUUUUAUUUUACAAGACAUAUUUCACAAUGCACUAAAGCAAAAUCUCAAUAUACUUUUUCACAUUGCAUGCAUUGCAACUAAAUUUUUGCACAUGAUAAAAAAAUAGAGUGAAACUACUUGAUUAGUUAGCUAAAACAAGAGAGCAUCUAUUGAAUGUUUUAUUUUGCAUUUCUUCCCACAUCCUUUUGUGUCCAUUUUGCAUUGCUUCCAAAAAUAAACGGUAAAAUAUGGUAUAAUGACAUAAUUUUAGGAUAAAUGUUUUUUUAUCUAUUGAGCCAAAGAAAAAAGAAAUAUUCUUUGUCCUUUUGAUGCAACACAAAUUAACUAGCAAUGGUACCAAUAUGCACUAUGGUCCCUCUUCUUCAACUCAUGAUUUUAUACCGUUAUGUAUGAAUUUGUACAUUAUUGAUUAGCCUAUCCAGAAAUCUAAUUUGACAAAUUUUAUUGGAUGGAAGACGUAUUUAAUGAUAUUAUCAUUACAUACUUUGGAUAUUUGAUAUAUUUUAUAAUGAAAGAAAAUAAUAUCUUAAAGAUAUGUGGUUUGAGAAAUAAAGGAAAUACUACAAACCAAUAGAAACUUAGAUAUGGAUUUCACAAGAUAUAGACCUUUAGUUUUACUCGAUGAUAACCAAAUAUAAAUAGCCAUAUAACCAAAUUUGAUAACCAUUCUCAACAUUGCCAAUUGAGCUUCAUUACUUUACUUAGUAAGCAAAAAAAUACCACAAUGGCUGCUUCAACAAUGUCCCUCUCUUCUUCAUCAUUUGUCGGGAAGGCAAUCAAACUUUCCCCAUCCACUCAAGACAUUGGGGUGGGAAGAGUCACAAUGAGGAAAACAACCACCAAGAAGUCCGUUCCGUCUGGAAGCCCAUGGUACGGUCCAGACCGUGUGAAGUACUUGGGCCCAUUCUCCGGUGAAGCCCCAUCCUACCUCACAGGUGAAUUCCCUGGUGACUACGGUUGGGACACUGCUGGACUUUCUGCUGACCCAGAGACAUUUGCCAAGAACCGUGAACUCGAGGUCAUCCACAGUAGAUGGGCUAUGUUGGGUGCCUUGGGAUGUGUCUUCCCUGAGCUCUUAUCUCGCAAUGGUGUACAAUUCGGUGAGGCCGUGUGGUUCAAGGCAGGAUCCCAAAUCUUUAGUGAGGGUGGACUUGACUACUUGGGUAACCCAAGUCUAGUCCAUGCACAAAGCAUCCUUGCUAUAUGGGCAGUCCAAGUUAUCUUAAUGGGCGCCGUGGAGGGUUACCGUAUUGCUGGUGGACCUCUAGGCGAGGUAGUCGAUCCACUCUACCCAGGUGGCAGCUUUGACCCCUUGGGCCUUGCCGAAGAUCCCGAGGCUUUUGCAGAGUUGAAGGUGAAAGAACUAAAAAAUGGUAGGUUAGCUAUGUUCUCUAUGUUUGGAUUCUUCGUUCAGGCCAUUGUCACCGGAAAGGGACCUAUUGAGAACCUCGCUGACCACCUUGCUGAUCCAGUUAACAACAAUGCUUGGGCCUAUGCCACAAACUUUGCCCCUGGAAAAUAAGCAAUAACUACACCAAAUGAGAAGUAGUGAAUGACUUGAAUAUCAAACUUUGAAUUUGUUAUUGUGUUAUAUGUUGAAAAACGUAUGGCGCAUUACAUCUUUUUUUCUUCUUCCUAAGUUUGUACAAAUUAUGUGAAUGAAAUGAAUGGUUUUACUAAAACAAGGGAGAGAGCAAUGAAUGUGAACGGUGAUCAUGCAAGCUAUAUAUCAACACUUUGUCAAUUAUAAUGAAUUACCAAACUAUUGUGUAAUUGAUUCUUCAUAAAUUAAUUAAGUGAAUGAAAUGAAUGGUUUCUUUGUUUUUUGUUUCCCUCACGUUGUCUUCUAAAACCACUUAUGAAUUCGAAACUAACAAAAUAAAGUAACAUCAUAUUGUGGGUUCCAUGUUUGGCAAUCACCCAAGAUAUAAAUCUUAAUAAGGUGGAAUUUGCAAUGCACUCCAUAGUUGGUGUUGAUAUAGUGCCAGAGGUGGUUGUACGAUCUAAGCUGAUUUCAUAGUUUAAUUUCUUUUCCUAUAAAAAAAUUGUAAGGAUCACCAGUAACCCAUGAAUGAAUUGAGCAACACUCUUUGGUCACAUACACAAAAAACUUGACCUUCAAUGACAAUAAAGUUUUGUAGGUAAAAGUCCUUAUACCGUAGGUAUAGCCCACAUACCUAAAACUUUACUUUUAAUGACAGUAAAUUUCUUUAGGUUAAAAUCUUUUUACCGUAUGUAUAGUCCCAAGUACCUAUACCCACAUAUUUUUAAGUUAAAAUUAAGCUCUAUUCCUAUAUCUAAAAUCCUAGGUAAAACAAAAGGUUUUGUUUAACAAGUAAAAUCUGUCACUUUUAGACUAUAGCGACGACCAAAAAUAUGUGGGUUUAAGUACUUGCGGUUAUACCUACGAUAAAAGGACAAUUAACUACGAAAAUUACCGUUACUAAAAUUACUAUCACUUUAGACUUAGUUUAUUUUCUUUUUUCUUUUUUCCCUUAUGUGUGCCCAAAUACAAAUGAUCAGGAUUUCGACCAAACAAGUUUUACUCGAAUGGUUAAGGAUCACCAAUCUUCGAACACAAAAUAUAAUAAUAAAGUCAAACAACAAUAUUUUGAUAUGCUAUUUGAAGGGCGAGUUUGAAUUUUAUGUUAGAAAAUGUGAAAGGUCCAUUAAAAAUGGAAAUCAUGGAAGGUAUCUAUAAAUAAAUGCUUGAAAAAUCUAUUAGAAUGUUCACCGGUUCAACCCAAAUAACUUUUAAUCUAUUUAACAAAAUAAAAUAUAAAUAUUCUUAAAGCGAGUUAAAAUUAGGUGAUACAAAUCUAUUUUAAAAUGUCAAGAUGAUGUUGAGUGAAUUAAUAUUAACUGACUCGCUGACUCGCUUUAAGAAUAUCUCGGUUUUGAUUUAUAAAAUCAUCCAUAUAAGGGAUAGUUCAACUCUUUAGACAAAAAAUAAGAUAGCUUGCAACGAACUUGGUAAUUAGUCUCAUAGCGCAUCCAAAUGUCGUAACUCAUAAGGUCACCAAGAUACAUGCAAAGUUCAUUGGAGAGCCAAAUACUUUUGUGAUAGUGAAUUGGCAAAAAAUUCAAGUCUAAUGUAUCAGUAUAUACUUAUUUUUAAAUCUCAAGAUAAUUUUUCACAUUGCAAAACAAAGAGCGUGGAUUAGAUGGUUAUAGCUUCCAACAUCCUUGUGUGUCUAUUUUGCAUUGCUUCCAAACAUAAACUGUAGAAUAUGGUAUAAUGACAUUUAGUAAAAAAAAUGGUAUAAUGACAUAAAAUUAGGAUAAAUGUGUUUUUAUCCAUGGAGCCAAAAAAGAAAUAUUCUUUGUCCAUUUGAUGCAACACACACCACAAAUUAACUAGCAAUGGGACCAAUAUGUAAUGUGGUCCCUCUUCUACAACAUAUAAUUAUAUACCGUUAUAUGCAUGAAUUUGUACGUUAUUGAUCAUCCUAUCCAGAAAUUACAAUUGGCAAACUCUUAUUGGAUGAAAAAGAUAUUUAAUGAUAUUAUUAUAUAUUAUUGUGGAUAUUUGAUAUGUUUGGGAAAGGAAGAAAAUAAUUUUUAAAGUGAUAUGUGGUUUGAGAAGCAACUGUAAUGCUCAAAACCAAUAGAAAGUUAGAUACAUAGAUUUCAUAAGAUAUGGACAUUUAAUUUAUCUUGUUGAAAACAACAUAUAAAUAACACCAUACCAUAACACAUUCAAUAUAGCCAUCAUCAACAUUGCCAAUAAAGAUAUUUAUUUGUUUACUUAGUAAACACUAAAAUUCUACCAUGGCUGCUUCAACAAUGUCUCUCUCUUCUUCAUCAUUGGUUGGGAAGGCAAUCAAGCUUUCCCCCUCUACUCCAGACCUUGUCAUGGGAAGAAUUACCAUGAGGAAAACAACCACCAAGAAGAAUGUUCCUUCUGGAAGCCCAUGGUACGGUCCAGACCGUGUCAAGUACUUGGGUCCAUUCUCUGGUGAAGCUCCAUCUUACCUUACUGGUGAAUUUCCCGGUGACUAUGGAUGGGACACUGCUGGACUUUCUGCUGAUCCGGAGACCUUCUCUAAAAACCGUGAACUAGAGGUCAUUCACAGUAGGUGGGCUAUGUUGGGAGCCUUGGGAUGUGUCUUCCCUGAGCUCUUGGCUCGCAAUGGUGUUAAAUUCGGUGAGGCCGUGUGGUUCAAGGCAGGAUCUCAAAUCUUUAGUGAGGGUGGACUUGACUACUUGGGAAAUCCAAGUCUAGUCCAUGCACAAAGCAUCCUUGCUAUAUGGGCUGUCCAAGUUAUCUUAAUGGGUGCUGUUGAGGGUUAUCGUAUUGCAGGUGGACCUCUCGGUGAGGUUGUCGACCCACUCUACCCAGGUGGUAGUUUUGACCCAUUAGGCCUAGCUGAUGACCCAGAGGCUUUUGCAGAGUUAAAGGUGAAAGAACUCAAAAAUGGAAGGUUAGCUAUGUUUUCCAUGUUUGGAUUCUUUGUUCAAGCUAUUGUAACCGGAAAAGGACCUAUAGAGAAUCUUGCUGACCACCUUGCUGACCCAGUUAACAACAAUGCAUGGGCCUAUGCCACAAACUUUGCCCCUGGAAAGUGAGCCAAAACUACACCAUACCAAUGAGAAGUGAUUUCUGAAGCAAACAAUGAGAAUUCAUAUGCUUUGAGAAACAUAUGGUGCAUUUAGAUUUUUUUAAUUCUUUCAAGUUUGUACUUUUUAAGAGAGUGAAAUGAAUGUGAUUAUGUGAAUGAUGAUCAUGCAUAUUAUCAACACUGUAGCAGACCUAAUGAAAUGCCAAAGUAUUGUGCAGUUGAUUCUUCCAAAAUUCUAAGUCACUUGUGAUUGCAUCUAUUAUUGUCUGCAUUAUUGAUAAGUAUAAGAAAUCAAUUGUAAUUUUUCAAUCAAAUAAUAGGUGUAUCAAUGUAAAUAUAAAAUAAAAAAAUGUCUAAUUUAGUUUUAGUUUUUGUGUGUGUAGAAUAUAGAGACAGUAAGUGAUUUUAAAAAUGCUAUAACUUUUGCUAAAAACACUGCCAUUCAAUAUAAAAUCUAGAUUUCUUUAAAAAUGAAACAUUUCAAUAUUUUUUUUUUUUACCAUGUUAUAAGUACGAAAGUGAUUAAUCUCUAAAGGUUGUCAAAAUCGGGACUUUACUUCAGGUCGAAAAGGGAAUAGCAAAAUCAGGACUCGUAAAAUCGCAAUCAAAAUCGUAGGAAUUUACUCAACUACUCUUGUAGAAUAGAUAUAAGAAAUUGUAAAAUCGCAAUCAAAAUCGAUGAGUUUUACCAAAACAAAAAUAAUGCUAAAAACAUAGACCAAAACAUAAAUGACUCAGAUUAAAGUCCACAAAAUACUUAAACAUAAAUGACUAAAAAAAUGGAAAAAAUUCUUCAAAACCCUUUAACAUCAUGCAAUUUUGUUUGAAAUCUUAAAAUCGCGAUGGAUUUGAGUCGUUGAAGGUGAAGAAAGUCGCGAAAUUCUGGAUUUUAGAAUUUAAGUCGGAAUUUUGAAAACACCAAAAAUACAUAAGAUAUGUUCUCUCUUUUCAUCCGAAUUUUCUCUAUCGAACUUGUGAGCACUUGUUUAAAGAGUCCAAAAUUCUUACAAUUUGAAUCAAUCCACUACUAGUAAUAUUUGUUUCUUAUACAUAUCAACCAAUUACUUCAUUUUAAGAGAACUUGGUUUACAAUGUGGGAAGGAAUUUCCUAGACACAACAAAUCAUGAGUACAAAGCUUCCCAAUUCUUCUUGAAUAAGUUUUUUGAGCGGUGGAAAACUUAUGUUAAAGACUUGAUAUUUUUCAAAUGCAUGCAUGUUUUGCUCAUAUAAUAAUGUUACAAUUUUCAUAGUUGUUGUAUAUAUAAAGUAGUUUUUCAAAACUUAAAUUUAUAAAAUUUAAUAAAGAUCAACAUUGUGUCAAUAAAAAUUAAAUAUCAAUUACUUUAAAACUAGUCUUGGAAUUAUUUUAGGUCUCAAUUGAUAUUUAGGUUGGCCCUGGCAUCUCUAUUAACCGAUGAUGUGAAUAAUUAAUUGCAUAAUGUGGCCGUGAUUGAAUUCUCUCAAGUGUGAAUUUGAGUAAAGUGUGAUCUCUAAUCAUCCAUAUUUCUAAUAUCUUAAUUUUUCAUGUGUUUCUCUCUAACAAGAUAUCAUACUUGACAUCUUUUGUGAAAAUCACCUAGGAGAGGAUCCAUUUUCAAUGUGACAUUGCAGCUUAAAAAUGUCUGAAAUUAGUUAUGUCUACCACUCAAGAUAUAUAUUCUGUUAUAGUUGAGUCAGUUUAGAACGAGCCGGAUUGGUCAGUUCAAUUGGUUGAACCGAAAACUAAAUUGAAUCGUGCUUCGAUUGCAGUUGGCUCAACCAGUUCAACUGAUCGAUUGAACCAAUUUAACCAUGACUUGAGAGAAUCACAUGGUUGACUUUCAUUUCGGUUUUUAAAUUAUUGAGUUGAAUUUUGGCUGCUGUUAACUAGUAACUCCAUUUAUUUAUUUUUUUACUUAGUUAUAAUAAAAAAAAAAAAUAACUCAGGCAUUACAUAAAAUUUAAAUUAAGUUUUCACAAGACAGUUUAGCAAAGCAAAAUUAUUAGAUAUCCUUAUCAGUAGAAAGUACAAUAGCUAACUACGUACGGACAUGUGUAUUUUGCAGUGAUUACAAUAAAUACAUAAGUAGAAUAAAUUUGUUUUGUUCAUUUGAUGCAAACAGAAGAAACUAUUAAUGGGACCAGUGCACUGUGUGGUCCCUUUUCUGUAAAUCUAUUGAUUAUUAUCCCAUCAAGUAAUCAUAAAUGACAAUUUCUUAUUGGAUGGAACAAGUUUUUCAUGAUAUUCAAUUGUCAUAUUCUGGAUAUUUGAUAUUUUUUGAAAUAAUAAUUCUGAAGAGAAAUAUAUGUGGUUUGAGAUGUAAGUGUAAUGCUCCAAACCAAUAGAAAAUCAAGAUAUAGAUUUCAUAAGAUAUGGACCUCUAGUUUUUCUUGAUGAAUUAACAUAUAAAUAGUACCACUAGGACAUAACAAAGCAUCAUCAAUAACCAUCCUCUUCAUUUUCAAUAGAGCUAUUUAUUUGCAUUUAACUAAGUUGCAAAUAAAAUACUAGAAUGGCUACAUCAACAAUGGCUCUCUCUUCUUCAACAAUGGUUGGGAAGGCAAUCAAGCUUUCCCCUUCCACUCCAGACCUUGUGAUGGGAAGAAUCACCAUGAGGAAAACAACCAACAAGAAGAACGUCCCUUCUGGAAGCCCGUGGUACGGUCCAGAUCGUGUCAAAUACUUGGGUCCAUUCUCUGGUGAAGCUCCAUCUUAUCUCACUGGUGAAUUUCCUGGUGACUAUGGUUGGGACACUGCUGGGCUUUCUGCUGACCCAGAGACAUUUGCCAAGAACCGUGAACUCGAGGUCAUCCACAGUAGAUGGGCUAUGUUAGGAGCUUUGGGAUGUGUCUUCCCCGAGCUCUUGUCUCGCAAUGGUGUGAAAUUCGGCGAGGCUGUGUGGUUCAAGGCAGGAUCUCAAAUCUUUAGUGAGGGAGGACUUGACUACUUGGGUAACCCAAGCCUAGUCCACGCACAAAGUAUCCUUGCUAUAUGGGCUGUCCAAGUUAUCUUAAUGGGAGCUGUUGAGGGUUACCGUAUUGCCGGUGGACCUCUUGGUGAGGUAGUCGACCCACUCUACCCAGGUGGAAGCUUUGACCCAUUGGGC
rnacentral:lncRNA from 1 species